rnacentral:rRNA from 1 species
GUCCCUAUCCGUCGCAGGCGUAGGAAAUUUGAGAAGACCUGUCCUUAGUACGAGAGGACCGGGAUGGACGUACCUCUGGUGUACCAGUUGUUCUGCCAAGGGCAUGGCUGGGUAGCUAUGUACGGAAUGGAUAAGCGCUGAAAGCAUCUAAGCGCGAAGCCAACUUCAAGAUAAGAUUUCCCACCGCAAGGGUAAGACCCCAGAAAGACUAUCUGGUUGAUAGGUCGAAGGUGUAAGUGCAGCAAUGUAUUUAGCUUAUCGAUACUAAUAGGUCGAGGACUUGACCAAU